UUUGCGUUGGCCUCAGGUUCACUGCAUGAGGCUGGUGGACACAUGCACUGUGCGCUCCUCCCUAUAAACAUCACUGAGUGUAUCAGAGUGGGAGGAGCUGCUACCCCGUUUUGAACUGAUGAUUUCUCCUUAUCAACAGAUUAAAAAUACCAGAUCUCAUCGCUAAGUGGUUGUGUGGUCCUUGUGGGUGAGGUUGUCCGUUCCAGACAUGCUACAAAAACAUGGAAUUAGCUUCCAUUGUUAUGCUGAU